AACGAACGCUGGCGGCAUGCCUAAUACAUGCAAGUCGAACGAGAUCUUCGGAUCUAGUGGCGCACGGGUGCGUAACGCGUGGGAAUCUGCCCUUGGGUUCGGAAUAACUUCUGGAAGCGGAAGCUAAUACCGGAUGAUGACGUAAGUCCAAAGAUUUAUCGCCCAAGGAUGAGCCCGCGUAGGAUUAGCUAGUUGGUGAGGUAAAGGCUCACCAAGGCGACGAUCCUUAGCUGGUCUGAGAGGAUGAUCAGCCACACUGGGACUGAGACACGGCCCAGACUCCUACGGGAGGCAGCAGCAGGGAAUAUUGGACAAUGGGCGAAAGCCUGAUCCAGCAAUGCCGCGUGAGUGAUGAAGGCCUUAGGGUUGUAAAGCUCUUUUACCCGGGAUGAUAAUGACAGUACCGGGAGAAUAAGCUCCGGCUAACUCCGUGCCAGCCGCCGCAGUAAAAC
rnacentral:rRNA from 1 species